rnacentral:lncRNA from 1 species
UUCUUAGUUUGUAACAAUUAGGUGACAGAUACUUUUUUAUUUAGUACAUGAAUUGUGACGAGCAUUAAAGAAUGGAUGACGUUAUUCGGUUAUAUGUAAUUAAACCACUGUUGUCUGUUUUUCUUUUCUUGCUUCGCAAAUAAUCCACUGUGAGAGAUAUACCAUAAUCAUUUAAGUUAGAUGUGGACAAUGACUGCACAUGCUAACUACUUCUUGGGGCCGUGUUUGUAACAAUUAGGUGACAAAUACUUGUUUAUUUAGUCCAUGAAUUGUGACAAGCAUUAAAGAAUGGAUGACGUUAUUCGGUUAUAUGUAAUUAGAAGUAGGGUUUAUGUGAAAAUCAUUAUUAACUGUGUUUGGUGAUAAGGUUGUACAAGAUUAGAUUUAUUGAGUUGCUGAAUAUAAUUGUAUGCGUUUGUGUGAUAAGGUUGUACAAGAUUAGAUUUAUUGAGUAACUGAAUAUAAUUGUAUGUGUUUGUGUGAUAAGGUUGUACAAGAUUAGAUUUAUUGAGUAGCUGAAUAUAAUUGUAUGUACAACUUGGAAAUGGAAUUAUGGUGGAUAAACAUAUAUUUACUCGACUCAUUGAAAUUUGGUAUUAUGAAAUUAUGAUGUAAAUUAUGAUGUAUAAACAAGUAUUUACUUGAGUCAUUGAGAUUUGGCUUUAUAAAAUCAUGGUGGAU